UGUGUGUUGUUGUGUGGAAGUAGGGUGUUAGUGUGUGUUCCACACAACAACACACACUAACACCCUACUUCCACACAACAACACACA
rnacentral:pre_miRNA from 1 species